GACGUAGGGGGCCAGCGUUGUUCGGAUUUAUUGGGCGUAAAGGGUGCGUAGGCGGCGGAGUAAGUUGGGUGUGAAAUCCCGGGGCUCAACCUCGGAAUGGCAUUCAAUACUGCUUCGCUCGAGUACUGGAGAGGAGGCUGGAAUUUACGGUGUAGCAGUGAAAUGCGCAGAUAUCAGGAGGAACACCCGUGGCGAAAGCGGCUCUCUGGGACGGUACUGACGCUGAGACGCGAAAGCGUGGGGAGCAAACAGG
rnacentral:rRNA from 1 species